UGCCCCCUCACAUUUUUUAAAAUUAUUUUUUUAAAAAUAAUAUUUUAUCAUUAUUUUAAAAACCUAACUAAUUUCAUUACAAAAAAAUAAUUUAUUUUCAAAUAUUUUCAAAUAUUUUAUUUUAAAAAAUUAUGAUUCGAUAAUAAUUCGAUAAUAUUUUAUUUUUGAAUAUUUUUUUUUCUUCCCUUCCUCCCACCCCCGACCGACCUCUC
rnacentral:lncRNA from 1 species